UAUCUCUGUAGAGUCUGCAUAUCAAUAAGCGGAGGAAAAGAAACUAACUAGGAUUCCCUCAGUAACGGCGAGUGAAGCGGGAAGAGCUCAAAUUUGAAAUCUUCAAGGUUUUACCUUGACGAAUUGUAGUUUAAAGAAGUGUUUUCUGUUGGAUGUUUUGGUAAAAGUUCUUUGGAAUAGGACAUCAUAGAGGGUGAGAAUCCCGUAUUUGACCAUUAUUUCCAACUUUGUGAUACACUUUCAAAGAGUCGGAUUGUUUGGGAAUGCAGUCCAAAAUGGGUGGUAAAUUUCAUCUAAAGCUAAAUACUUGGCGAGAGACCGAUAGCGAACAAGUACCGUGAGGGAAAGAUGAAAAGAACUUUGAAAAGAGAGUUAAACGGUACGUGAAAUUGUCAAAAGGGAAGCGUUUGACACCAGUGCUGUUUUCUCGAAAAUCAAUUAAAAAUGGUGGGAUGUUGUGUUGUAUUGACUUUAUCAGCUUUCUGCACUUUUUUUCUAUCUUUUUUAAUGCACUUUUCGUUUAACAAGUCAACAUCAAUUUCUUUUGUUGUAAAAGAGUCAUUGGAAGGUGGCUUUCACUUCGGUGAAAGUGUUUAUAGCCUUUGACCUCUGCAAUCGGAGAGAUUGAGGUCUAGCAGCGUAGACUCCUUUGGGGUUAGAUACGCAUUGUGCUAAGCUAUAGCCUUGUAUAGACAACUUGUUGACUAUGCUCAGUCAUGUAGCUUACUCGCUUGCAUGUAUUUUACCUACGCUUAGGAUGUUGAUCUCUCACAGUCGAGC
rnacentral:rRNA from 1 species